AGAGUUUGAUCAUGGCUCAGGAUGAACGCUGGCGGCGUGCCUAAUACAUGCAAGUCGAACGGAGAAUGUAGCAAUACGUUCUUAGUGGCGAACGGGUGAGUAACGCGUUGGUGACCUGCCUCGAAGAGAGGGAUAACAGUCCGAAAGGAUUGCUAAUACCUCAUGUGAUUGUAGGGUUUAGAAGCUUACAAUUAAAGGAGUAAUUCACUUCGAGAGGGACCUGCGUACCAUCAGCUAGUUGGUGAGGUAACGGCCCACCAAGGCGAUGACGGUUAGGGGACCUGAGAGGGUGGCCCCCCACAAUGGAACUGAAACACGGUCCAUACACCUACGGGUGGCAGCAGUAGGGAAUAUUAGUUAAUGUGCGAAAGCGCGAACUAGCAACGCCGCGUGUGCGAUGAAGGCCUUCGGGUCGUAAAGCACUUUUCUAAGGGAUGAGGAAGGACAGUACCUUAGGAAUAAGCAUCGGCUAACUACGUGCCAGCAGCCGCGGUAAAACGUAGGAUGCAAGCGUUAUCCGGAUUUACUGGGCGUAAAGCGCGUGUAGGCGGUUUGGUAAGUUGGAUGUGAAAGCUCCUGGCUUAACUGGGAGAGGUCGUUCAAUACUGCUAAGCUUGAGGAUGGUAGAGGGAGGUGGAAUUCCGAGUGUAGUGGUGAAAUGCGUAGAUAUUCGGAGGAACACCAGUGGCGAAAGCGGCCUCCUGGACCAUUUCUGACGCUCAGACGCGAAAGCUAGGGUAGCAAACGGGAUUAGAGACCCCGGUAGUCCUAGCCGUAAACGAUGUAGACUUGGCGUCGGCGGGUUUAAAUCCGUCGGUGUCGAAGCUAACGCGAUAAGUCUACCGCCUGGGGACUACGGCCGCAAGGUUAAAACUCAAAGGAAUUG
rnacentral:rRNA from 1 species